rnacentral:tRNA from 1 species
GUGAAUUUAGUUUAAAAGAAAAAACAUUUGAUUUGCACUCAAAAAUUUGAAGUUUAAAUCCUCAAAGCCACA